rnacentral:lncRNA from 1 species
GGGCUAAAGCUGAAUGCAGAUCUGCUGACCCUGAUCUACAGCUUGCGGAAGCUCUGCCUGUGUGCCCCCAUCUGCUGCUUCCUAGGGUUGGGGCCUGCUUCCUCAAAAGGAGAGUGGAUCUGUUCUCCUGCCAGCCCCCCACAGGGCCUUGUGGAGCCCUGGCCAUGUCCUCCCAAGAUCACAGGAUGGAAGCCAGCAGUCCAAUAGGCGUGCCACUCAAGCCAGCAGUGACCUGCAGCUUCUGCUUCCUGGAGAGUGGGGUGCCCACCCAAGAGAGCACAAGCACACCCCACACCCCUGACCUUGAGGGCACUGGGAGGUGGGGGCACUGUACUGGGACCAAGUCCCGGCAGCCUUGUGCGUGUGCCCUGGAAGGUAGCCUAGGAGUCCUGCGUGUGCCUCUCUGCACAGCAGGGAGGGG